GAUACCUGAGGAAACUUCAUCUCACAAAUUGUUUGUUUGUAGAAGUGAUUAUUUCCUUGUCUUGAGGAGGAGUUUGAUUAGCAUUUGGAACUGCAGUUAAGAGGUCAUUGUAGAGCAAACUGUUCGCCCAAGUUUGUGUUCUUGAGACAAGCCACGUUUUUGUGCAUGCUGAAGGGGCGGGGGACAACCCAGUCGCUUUGUUUACCUCUUUGGGAAGCUUUGUUCAGCAAAGAUCUGAAAGCCUGUUAGGUCCUGUGCCAGGUGUUGGGGUACAAGGACGAGGCCUUCCGUAGUGAUACUUCAGUAGGGGAUGGCUGUGCAAACACUGACCAACACCGGGGAAGUGUGUGUGGCGUGCCGUGGUGGCCUACAGCCCUUAGGCCCCAGAAGCUGAGCUGUCUUCAGUGUUGUUGGGGGAGAUGCGUGGCAGCGGCGUGCUGCAGGCCAGGACGGGCCUGCUCUUGCAGGGGGGCUUCAGUUUGUAAUCCACAGUCCUUUCGUGGGAGCUACUGAAAGGUGUGUAGGAGGGGGAAUACCGGGCCGCAGUUUGGUGCUGGGAGGACACCUCUGGCCCAGUACGGGGUGUGGACUGAAGAGGGGCGAGGCCGGGUCCUGAGGCUGCUGUUGGAGAGGUGUGAGCUGCAGAGGGUCCUGGCCCACAGGCCUUUCUGGUGAGGCGAGGGGGGCACUUAGGAGACCCAGUCAGCAGGCUUUGGUUAGUGACUGGAUGGUGGAGGUGAGGGGAGGGAGGGAUCUAGAAUGCCCUCCCGGUUUCUGGCUCAGGCAGCAGGUUCUCCAGGCCAGGGGUGAAGGAAGGGGCAACGAACUUGGGUAGAAGAUGGAGGAUUCGGUCUGACAGAAAAUGCAUUUAAUAUUUGUGUGCUCCUUCUUAUACCUGAUCCAUUGGGAUCUGUGGGUCUGGGGCUUGGGAAGGAGGUCUGGCUGCAGGUCAGGAUUUGGAAGUCAUCAGGGGAGGUGGGACCUAAAAGCCGAGCGAGAGGUGCUAUUGUUCACUUGAAUCCUGUGCUGAAGUUGGAAACCGUUUCAUUGUGUUGAGAUAGUCAGGGGUAUACAGGAAAUGGGUAGUGGAUAUAGUUUGUAGGAAUAAGAUUCUCUGAAAAUUAGUGCCUCAGUGACUGUAGGCCCAGGAUUUUCUAACAUUCUGUAUGCUCUUGCUACAAAGAAUUCGAAUGAUGGGGCAACGCAGAGAAAAUAGAGCAUCCUUAUUGCUUCUCUCAGAUCGCCUCAAGGUGAUACAAAAAGUCUUCAUUCAAUUUUGUUUUGCAUAGUGAUUCUGUAUAUCUAGAGGUUUAUUGGAUCGAUACUGCAAAGAAGAUUCAUGCAUUCACUCAGGAAGUUAUUUGUUGAAUACCAGCCAGGUGCUAACUAAACAUAUGGGGAGAUGGCAACGACACAAAACAGUGUCCCUGCCUUCGUGGGGCUUUAUAAUCUGGGGGAGGAGACGUUCAUAGACAAUAAGCAAAAAGGCCUCUAAGAGGUUAUAAGUGUUGUGAAGAACAUUAAGUCCAGGGUACGGAGACAGAGAGCGUCGGGGGUGUUAUCUAGAUGGGGUAUGAUAAGGUGUUUUUUGAGGAGCAGCCAUUUGAGCAGAAAUCUGAGUGGAAGUGAUGGAGUGAGCCAUGUGGGCAUCUAGAUAAACGGUGUUAGAUGGAGAGGGAAGAGCAGGUGCGAGGACCCUGAGGAGCGGCAGGGAGGUCGGGGGCCCGAAGUGGUGGGACCUGAGGGGAGAGGUUUCGCUGGCGCUCUCUGACGUAUUUGCCUUCACUCCAAGGUGAGGACAGUUGUGGUCACUCUCGGCAGCCCCCCCUAGAGGGAGAGCGCGUUCCUGGGCCGGUUAGUGGCAGGUCCUGUGAGAAGCAGCGGCCAGGUGUGGGCUGGAGUGGCAGCAGCCGUCGGAGGAGCUGUGUCCCCACCCAGCUGGGGUCACUUCUUUUGAUGGAGAACAGACAUUUCCUGUCAACCCUUGAAAUGGUAACAAAUGACAGUUCGGAAGAGCAUUUUUGGAUGAAGUCUCAUGGAUGUUUAGAAAGGCUAGCUGUUGCCCUCUGUUCUCUACCACUUCCCUCUUGGUACCCCUUCAGAAAUGACUCAGUUUACCUCCUGCAGCCUUUGUGACUUUGCGACACCCCAUAGUGGAAAGAGCAGCGAAGGCAGCAAGUGGGUUUGGGGUCUGUGUCCGUUGUUGUCACAAAUCAUCUUGGAGUUUAGCAGUUCCUUCCACUUACGGGAACCUCCGUUUCCUUGUCUGUAAAAGAAGAGGAUUGGAGUAAGCGAGCUCCGGAACCUUUCCGCUCAUCGUGCUCUCUGCUGCCUCUCGUUUGUCCCUGUGAGGCGGUCAGUGCCAUGAAAUCCAUGUCAAGAACAACGGUGCUCAGUUGCUGACAUUUCUGGUAAUGAUAGUAAAGUAGAUUCUCCUUCAGGUGCUGGUAAACAAGAGCUAACCAGUUCUGGAAUCAUCCCUCACCAUCCUACGAUCCCUUGAGUAAACCAUCUAAAAGGUUGUUUUUAGGCUCGGUUCCCUCAUGGUCAGCUUGCUGUCUGCAGUGCUUAGUGGUUGUGCUGCUGCUGCUGUUUGACUGGUGGUUCGCUGGGCGUCUGUGCAGUUCAUGCCAUCACGGUGGUGACUGCCGUGCCAGGCAGAGAGGAGUCGAUUUGGGGCCCCAGAGGGAUACUUGUAGUUCUCUGUGUUGGCCACUUUCUAGGCCAAUGGAAAAGGAAGUAGAUGAAGUUGAAACUGACCUCUUGUCGCCCCCGCUCUGCCCUCUACCUCCCACUCAUGCGCUCGCCACCCCUUUGUAGAGAGAGUCUGCUCCUCAGAUUCCUGAAAUCUCUCGAGCUCAACCUGUGCCCGCAUUGUGCCUGGGACCGGAUACUUACGGGAGAAUUACUUCUGUUAGAAGAGUAAAUUACGUAUGUGAAGAUGGUAAAGAGAAGCAGUAUUUUACAAACAAGCCUUUUGGA